GACAAUCUGAAAAAGAAUUAAACGUCAAAACCAUUCUUUUCCCUGGGAAGGUUUUGACAGAAAAUGCCCAUCUGCAGUGCUUCCAUCCAGCUGGCGGCCCUGGUGGCACCUGAAGGCAGCUGAGAUGUUUGAGUUCGCCCCUCGAGGUGCUGGAACCCAAAACAUGUGCUUGUGGGGGGUCCUUAAUGGGAUGGAGUGGCUGAGCAUCAUUUAUUGAGAGUAAAUGAGUGUUCAGUACUGGAGUAGGAGCAGGAGUCGCUGAACUCAGAUUAAAAUGCAACAGCACCCAGUGCUUGCUGCAGGUACAUUUUCCUAGAGAAAGAGAUUGUGAGAAAUGGCUCUCGUUACUCCUUUAGAGUGCUUCUGACCACCACGUUCUUUUCUUUUUGAUAUAACAGUAUGGUAAAUGCCCAAAUGGCUCUUGCUGACAGUGGUGCUGCUGGUAGGUGACCGCUGCCCACCCGUCCUCCAGGCAUUGCACACCUGGGGCCAUUGGGAACCACCAGCAGAGAGGCUGUGAGACCACCAGGUCCCCCUGCUGCCAUCACCAUUGCACCUCUCCUGCUCGCCCUGCACCUGGUUUCCUUAUUCGUGUUACAAUUAAGUCCUGCACUGAAUAUAUUAUUGCUUUGAGAAGAGCCGGGACGAUUCUUUGUGAAGGCGCCUUCUGGCUGCCCUGGGAGAGCUCCUCAGACAGCCCUGAGACAGGCUGGCAAGUCACAUAAACCUUAAGUACGUGCCUCUGAGAAUGGAAGAUUCCCUGGGAAGCCUCAAUCUCUCGUUGUGUUACGGCCUGAUUAUCAAACAGACAAUUUACAUCUUAUUAGGUGU
rnacentral:lncRNA from 1 species